rnacentral:misc_RNA from 1 species
CCAGCAGCAAAAUCAAAAUCAUUUGUUUGAGGAACCUUGUGUUUUUGAGCUUUAUCUUCUUGCUGGCUAGGUUGGUCAUCUAUUGCGCCAUCUGUUCCUUCAGAGAGCUUGAAAGAAUUGACAUCACCAACUGACAGGGUUUCUUCUGAUGAUGCCUUAGUUUUAUCACGGCUUGCAUCUUCCAUUGCAUAAUUAGGUCCUGGUUUAAACCUCCUGUGAUCCAUACAUCUGCGCCUUAGAGUAGAAUUCCAGUGAUUCUUGAUUGCAUUAUCUGUUCUACCAGACAGAAGCCUUGCAAUUGCUGCCCAUUUGUUUCCAUGGAUGGCAUGGGCUGAAAUUAUAAUACGAUCCUCCUCAUCUGUGAAAGGCUUUCGCUUGAGGCAAGGGUCUAGCUGGUUACACCAUCUAAGCCUACAAGAUUUCCCAGAACGACCAGGAAUUCCCCGGGCGAUCAAGCUCCAAUUCCUAGCACCAAACUUACUCACCAGCUGAGUCAAAAUCGCGUCUUCAUCAGGCGACCAAGGUCCCUUAACUCUACUACUCACAACACCACCACCACCACUACUACCACCGCCUCCGGACCCACCAGCACCACCCCCAAGUUCCACCGACUGAGCAGCACCCCCGACUUCCGAGUCAUCCGCGGUUGGCGAACCGGAAAAAGGGGUCUUGCUGUCGUCCUCCUUUAUCAUUGUAUCACCCUCAGUUGGGUUUUGCAUUUUCCUUUGUGUGUUUCUAUGUACCUACCUGCCUAACAGCAACUGGCCACACUAGGAACGAGGAAGUUUUUUUUUUUU